AUGCAAAUUCCUGCAUUGGAAUGGGAAGAGGAAGUGUAUCCACCUUAUGCAAACGGACCAGGCUAUGUGAUUUCAUCAGAAAUAGCUGAGUACAUCGUAUCCGAGUUUGACAACCAGGCACUGAGAUUGUUUAAGAUGGAAGACGUGAGCAUGGGCAUGUGGGUUCAGAAGUUCAACAAGACUCGCCAGCUAGUGGAGUAUUCGCACGAUGUCAAGUUCUUCCAGGCCGGCUGCUUCGACGGCUACUACACCACGCACUACCAGUCGCCGCAGCACAUAAUCUGCCUGUGGAGGAAGCCGCAGUCCGGGAGUGCUCAAUGCUGCAAUGCCAGAUGA
rnacentral:rRNA from 1 species